rnacentral:rRNA from 1 species
CAGAGGGGGCAAGCGUUAUUCGGAAUUAUUGGGCGUAAAGGGCGCGUAGGCGGCUUUGCAAGUGACGGGUGAAAUCCCUCGGCUUAACCGAGGAACUGCCUGUCAAACUGCAUGGCUUGAGACCAGGAGAGGUGAGUGGAAUUCCCAGUGUAGCGGUGAAAUGCGUAGAUAUUGGGAGGAACACCAGUGGCGAAGGCGGCUCACUGGACUGGUACUGACGCUGAGGCGCGAAAGCGUGGGGAGCAAACAGGAUUAGAUACCCUGGUAGUCCACGCCGUAAACGAUGAGUGCUUGGUGUAGCGGGUAUCGACCCCUGCUGUGCCGAAGUCAACACAUUAAGCACUCCGCCUGGGGAGUACGGUCGCAAGGCUG